GCGCACCAGUCGCGAAUUUUUCACAAUGGGGGAAACCCUGAUGGAGCGACGCCGCGUGGAGGAUGAAGGCCUUUUGGUCGUAAACUCCUGUCAUGCGAGAACAAGAAAGUGAUAGUAUCGCAAGAGGAAGAGGCGGCUAACUCUGUGCCAGCAGCCGCGGUAAUACAGAGGCCUCAAGCGUUGUUCGGAUUCAUUGGGCGUAAAGGGUGCGUAGGUGGCUUGUUAAGUUGAAGGUGAAAUCUCGGGGCUCAACUCCGAAACUGCCUUCAAUACUGGCGAGCUCGAGGAUUGUAGAGGAGAAUGGAAUUCACGGUGUAGCAGUGAAAUGCGUAGAUAUCGUGAGGAAGACCAGUGGCGAAGGCGAUUCUCUGGGCAAUUCCUGACACUGAGGCACGAAGGCCAGGGGAGCAAACGGGAUUAGAUACCCCCGUAGU
rnacentral:rRNA from 1 species